GCCCAGGAUUUGAAUAACUCUUCUAGCCGUUGGUCUCCAAUUUCUACUCACUGAAAAUGCUUCGCAAAACUCCAAAAUAUGUGAGGAAGAGGAAGGUGUUCAAAGGAGAUCAAUACCCGAUAUUACAGAAGAGUAACAUAAAUGCUGCAGAGGUGCCAGAAUAACUAACAGCUAAUUCAGAGAUCGAGGAAGCUUUCCCUGAAUAAGUGUUUGGACAGCCCUAUUUUUGGCCCUGGUCCCACAUGUGAAGAUCCGCGUCAUUAGUGGCCCACAACUUGCAGCUGCUUUGCAAAAGGCUCACGUGUGUCUGGGAGGGCAUCUCAUUCCUGUGGAGAAUUUUUCAAAGAGGAAUGGGUUGAACUGCGCCAUGGUCCUUGGUUGCUUCAUUUGCAAGAAGGAGAAGGACAUUCUCUUCAUCAGAAAAUGAAUGCGAAGGACGUGGAAAGUCUGCAGAAAUAAACCGCAGAGCUACUCUGGCAGCAACGGAGGUUGGUUUGGCACGGGAUAGCUUGUGCGACUUGCUGACCAUCCUCGGAACAGCCCCACUAGUCGAAGCCCCUAGCUACAACAGGCACAUAGCCACUUUAUCUUCCUUAUCCCAAGAGACCAGUAAGGAUCAGAAAAAGAAGGUGGCAGCAUGCCUACCUCAAAGGGCCUUGGACAAGGAUCUGACCGUCAGGGAAAAUGAUUACGUGGACGUGGCAGUGCCCUACGAUGGAACAUGGCAUAGACGAGGUUACACAUCGAAUCAUGGGGUGGGGGUAGUGAUACCGAUCGAUACAGGGGAGAUUGUUUUACACAGAGGGUCUAUCAAAAUCAUGUGAACAGUUUGAGUAUAGAAAGGGUUGGGUCUUCAGUGUUCUCAGCCAGAGGGACCUUGAUCGCCUUCAGAGACUCCAAAAAUGAGCAGCAAGGCUUGUCUUUUCUGCUCCUCUUCGAACUCACAUACAACCUCUUUGACUUGAACUUCAUUGUACAUGUUUAUACAAUGUUUUAGAACAUUUCUGUGCUGCAACUCAGUGCCUUAGUUUUUAUUGUACAUGUUUAUAUAUUUUUAACUUGCCUUUGAUUUUAGUCAUGUUUACAUAAACACUAUAUAUGACAUUUUAGAUAUUUAGAGGAACUAGGGUGAUAUAUAUGUGGGUAUUUAUUACACCUUAGUAGAAUAAGUCCAAGUAAUAUGUGUUGCAAUUAUGAACUUGCCUUUCAUUUGAGUUUUUAUUGUACAUGUUUAUACAAUGUUUUAGAACAAUCCUGUGCUGCAACUCAGUGCCUUAGUUUUUAUUGUACAUGUUUAUAUAUUUUUAACUUGCCUUUCAUUUUAGUCAUGUUUACGUACACACUGUAUAUGACAUUUUAGUUGUUUCUUUUUAACUUGCCGAUUAUUUAGAGGAACUAGGGUGAUAUAUAUGUGGGUAUUUAUUACAUCUUAGUAGAAUAAGUCCAAGUAAUAUGUGUUGCAAUUACGAACUUGCCUUUCAUUUUAGUUUGUAGUGUACAUGUUUAUGUGAUAUAUUUUUUACUUGCCUUUUAUUUUAGUUUUUAGCAUAUGUACAUGCAUACAACUUUUGAUAUAAACCAAAUACAUCCUGCCACUUUCAUUCAA
rnacentral:lncRNA from 1 species